CUACGGGGGGCUGCAGUGAGGAAUAUUGCACAAUGGGGGGAACCCUGAUGCAGCAACGCCGCGUGGAGGAUGACGCAUUUCGGUGUGUAAACUCCUUUUAUAUGUCAAGAAAAUGACGGUAGCAUAUGAAUAAGCACCGGCUAACUCCGUGCCAGCAGCCGCGGUAAUACGGAGGGUGCAAGCGUUACUCGGAAUCACUGGGCGUAAAGGACGCGUAGGCGGGUUGGAAAGUCAGGUGUGAAAUCCUACAGCUUAACUGUAGAACUGCACUUGAAACUUGUAAUCUAGAGUAUGGGAGGGGGAGAUAGAAUUAGAGGUGUAGGGGUAAAAUCCGUAGAUAUCACUAGGAAUACCUAAAGCGAAGGCGAUCUCCUGGAACAUGACUGACGCUAAGGCGUGAAGGCGUGGGGAGCAAACAGGAUUAGAUACCCGAGUAGUC
rnacentral:rRNA from 1 species